UACGUAGGGGGCAAGCGUUGUCCGGAAUUAUUGGGCGUAAAGAGCGCGUAGGCGGUCCGAUAAGUCGGCUGUGAAAGUCAGGGGCUCAACCCUUGAAAGCCGGCCGAUACUGUCGGACUAGAGUCCGGAAGAGGCAAGUGGAAUUCCCGGUGUAGCGGUGAAAUGCGCAGAUAUCGAGAGGAACACCUGCGGCGAAGGCGGGUUGCUGGGCCGACACUGACGCUGAUGCGCGAAAGCCAGGGGAGCGAACGGG
rnacentral:rRNA from 1 species